rnacentral:rRNA from 1 species
UACGGGGGGGAGCAAGCGUUGUUCGGAAUUACUGGGCGUAAAGGGCGCGUAGGCGGCCCUCUCAGUCAGACGUGAAAUCCCCAGGCUUAACCUGGGAACUGCAUUCGAGACUGCAUUGCUAGAGUAUGGGAGAGGGAAGUGGAAUUUCCGGUGUAGCGGUGAAAUGCGUAGAUAUCGGAAGGAACAUCAGUGGCGAAAGCGACUUCCUGGACCAAUACUGACGUCAUGUGCGAAAGCGUGGGGAGCAAACAGG